rnacentral:rRNA from 1 species
CCGGUUGCUGAGAAGUUGAUCAAACUGGUCAUUAGAGGAAGUAAAGUCGUACCAAGGUUCCGUAGGUGAACCUGCGGAAGGAUCAUUA